rnacentral:rRNA from 1 species
AUGAUAUGCUUGCAUCUACUGUAUGGUCUAUCCCUCUUGCUUAAUCGUCCUUGGUUUCUCCUGUCGGUGGUUAGUUCUGCUUCCUAUCCCGGUGGAAAUUUGUGCGCAAGAUGUCCAGAUGAAUGUUCUUCCUUGGUUUAUUUCUCUCCGUGUUCCUCUGAUUUUCCAUGGCGAAGGCUCUAUUGGGGGCUUCUUGGCCUUUUUGUUCGGCUCUCGCCAAGUUCUGCCUUUAUGAUCUUGCUCUGCUAUUCCCCUGUCAUGGUUCCAAGAUUUAAUCGUCUUCUUGUUUCUUGUCUGAACUUUGAAGGCCGCAAUCUGCUGGGUGCUGCAGGGGCUGAUCGAGCGAAGCGGAACAAGGCCAUGAUCGUCAAGAUCGCGGUGCCCGUGCUGCCCAUGCUGCUGCUGCUGCUCACGGCGUCGGCUGCCUCCAUGACGCCGGAUGACCGCGCCUGCCUCCGCGCCUUCUUCGGCAGCAACUACUUCCUGACGAUCUGCGUGCUCUCCCAGAUCAACGUGGGCCGUCUUAUGGCGAGGGAGGCCGUUCUGGCGCCGACGCUGGCGGCCCGGCGCGUCUUGGCGGUGGGCGCCGUCGCGUGCUUCGUGGAGCUCGCGCUCAAGCUGUACAUGAUCCUGGUGCUGUACCCUGCGGCUGUGGAGGAUGGUGCUUAG